rnacentral:rRNA from 1 species
UGGUGUUACUGCGAAGGGGGGACGGAGAAGGCUAUGUUAGCCGGGCGACGGUUGUCCCGGUUUAAGCAUGUAGGCUGGUUGUCCAGGCAAAUCCGGAUAACCAAGGCUGAGGUGUGAUGACGAGGCACUACGGUGCUGAAGUAACAAAUGCCCUGCUUCCAGGAAAAGCCUCUAAGCAUCAGGUAACAUCAAAUCGUACCCCAAACCGACACAGGUGGUCAGGUAGAGAAUACCAAGGCGCUUGAGAGAACUCGGGUGAAGGAACUAGGCAAAAUGGUGCCGUAACUUCGGGAGAAGGCACGCUGGUGUGUAGGUGAAGUCCCUGCGGAUGGAGCUGAGACCAGUCGAAGAUACCAGCUGGCUGCAACUGUUUAUUAAAAACACAGCACUGUGCAAACACGAAAGU